rnacentral:rRNA from 1 species
CUAACGAGGAUUUCCCUAGUAACGGCGAGUGAAAAGGAAAAAGCCCAACGCUGAAUCCAAUAGAUAUUUUAUUGCUAUAUGGAAAUGUAGCGUAUAGGUUUAACUAAUCGUAACAUAUUUUUACACCCAAAGUCCCCUUGAGCGGGGCUACAGUCCAUAGAAGGUGCUAGACCUGUACGGGUGAAAAAAAGUUACGAUAGGUUUAUACCUUAGAGUCGGGUUGUUUGAGAUUGCAGCCCAAAGAGGGUGGUAAACCUCAUCUAAGGCUAAAUACGACCACGAGACCGAUAGCAAACAAGUACCGUGAGGGAAAGUUGCAAAGAACUUUGAAGAGAGAGUUCAAGAGGGCGUGAAACCGCUGAGAUGGAAACGGAUAGAGUUAACGAAACUUAUCGGUAUUCAACCAAUCAAUUUAGCAAUUAUCUUUAAUGCAUUUUUUUUUUAUAUUUUUAUUCAUGUAAUAAUGAAUGAAAAAAAAAAAAAAUGAUUUUUAAAAAUAAAAAAUGCUAAAAAAUUUAAAAUGAUUGGUGUAUUUACCGAUGGUAUGCAUUGAGAGCUUCGUUUAUUUUGCAUAUUUAAAAUUUUAUAUUUAGKGGACCAAUUAUUGUUUGUAAAUAAUUGAAAUCCUAAAUAUAAUAAUGAAAUAUGUCUUAAAUGAAGUUUUUAUAUUCCCAAUUAAUGUAACUCUCACUUGAAAUAAUAGUGAAAUGCAUUGAUUAUAAUUUUUACUAAUUAUAUUUAAUAUGGUGGUCGCAUGCGACUUUAGCAAAUAAAUAUUUAAUUAGUAAWAUAANAAUAUAAAGGCCUUUUUAUUGAGUUCCCUCCCCACGGGGACCGUUAAUCACCUAUCUGACCCGUCUUGAACCCCGGACCAAGGAGU